rnacentral:rRNA from 1 species
CCUACGGGAGGCAGCAGUGGGGAAUAUUGGGCAAUGGGCGCAAGCCUGACCCAGCAACGCCGCGUGAAGGAAGAAGGCUUUCGGGUUGUAAACUUCUUUUGUCAGGGAAGAGUAGAAGACGGUACCUGACGAAUAAGCCACGGCUAACUACGUGCCAGCAGCCGCGGUAAUACGUAGGUGGCAAGCGUUGUCCGGAUUUACUGGGUGUAAAGGGCGUGUAGCCGGGUUGACAAGUCAGAUGUGAAAUCCUGCGGCUUAACCGCAGAACUGCAUUUGAAACUGUUGAUCUUGAGUACUGGAGAGGCAGACGGAAGUCCGAGUGUAGCGGUGAAAUGCGUAGAUAUUAGGAGGAACACCAGUGGCGAAGGCGGUCUGCUGGACAGCAACUGACGGUGAGGCGCGAAAGCGUGGGGAGCAAACAGGAUUAGAUACCCCAGUAGUC